rnacentral:pre_miRNA from 1 species
UUUCUACUCCCUCCGUCCGAAAAUACUUGUCAUCAAAAUGGAUAAAAAGAGAUGUAUCUAAAACUAAAAUACGUCUAGAUACAUUUCCUUUUAUCCAUUUUNAUUUCCGGACGGAGGGAGUAUUUG